AGAGUUUGAUCCUGGCUCAGGAUAAACGCUGGCGGCGCACAUAAGACAUGCAAGUCGAACGGACUUAACUCAUUCUUUUAGAUUGAGAGCGGUUAGUGGCGGACUGGUGAGUAACACGUAAGCAACCUGCCUAUCAGAGGGGAAUAACAGUGAGAAAUCAUUGCUAAUACCGCAUAAGCUAGUAGCAUCGCAUGAUGUAGCUAGAAAAGGAGCAAUCCGCUGAUAGAUGGGCUUGCGUCUAAUUAGCUAGUUGGUGGGGCAACGGCCUACCAAGGCGACGAUCAGUAGCCGGACUGAGAGGUUGAACGGCCACAUUGGGACUGAGAUACGGCCCAGACUCCUACGGGAGGCAGCAGUCGGGAAUAUUGCGCAAUGGAGGGAACUCUGACGCAGUGACGCCGCGUAUAGGAAGAAGGUUUUCGGAUUGUAAACUAUUGUCGUGAGGGAAGAAAUUGACAGUACCUCAGGAGGAAGCUCCGGCUAACUAUGUGCCAGCAGCCGCGGUAAUACAUAGGGAGCAAGCGUUAUCCGGAUUUAUUGGGUGUAAAGGGUGCGUAGACGGGAAAUUAAGUUAGUUGUGAAAUCCCUUGGCUUAACUGAGGAACUGCAACUAAAACUGGUUUUCUUGAGUACUGGAGAGGAAAGUGGAAUUCCUAGUGUAGCGGUGAAAUGCGUAGAUAUUAGGAGGAACACCAGUGGCGAAGGCGACUUUCUGGACAGUAACUGACGUUGAGGCACGAAAGUGUGGGGAGCAAACAGGAUUAGAUACCCUGGUAGUCCACACUGUAAACGAUGGAUACUAGGUGUAGGGUGUAUUAAGCACUCUGUGCCGCCGCAAACGCAUUAAGUAUCCCACCUGGGGGAGUACGAACCGCAAGGUUGAAACUCAAAAGGAAUUGACGGGGGCCCGCACAAGCAGUGGAAGUAUGUGGGUUUAAUUCGAAGCAACGCCGAAGAACCUUAUCAAGGGCUUGGCAUAAACAGGAAUUAAUUAAGAGAUUACUUAACUCUUCCGGAGCCUGUUUACAGGGGGGGCAAGGGUUGCGUCACCUCCUGGCCCGGGAAAGGUUGGGGUUAAUUCCCCCAACCAAGGGCAACCCCCGCUUUUUAUUUCCACCACCCAAAAGGUGGGGAACUCUCCAAAGGAUGCCGGGGAGAAAAUCAAAAAAAAAGUGGGGGCGAAGGUCAAAACUUCUUUGCUCUUUUUGCCUGGGGUUCACACAGUCUACAAGGGCCGCCCCAGGGGGGGGGGAAAAUUUGUGUUUUGGGAAACCCCAAAAAAGGUCUCAGUUCGGAUUGAAGGCUGAAAUUCGCCUUCAUGAAGCUGGAAUUGCUAGUAAUGGCAGGUCAGCAUACUGCCGUGAAUACGUUCCCGGGCCUUGUACACACCGCCCGUC
rnacentral:rRNA from 1 species